rnacentral:lncRNA from 1 species
AUGGGAGAGAUAUGGGAAAAGAACGGGAGAAACACGGGAGAGAGACGGGAAAAAUACCGGAAAAAUACGGGGAAAAUAUGGGAGAAAUACGGGAGAGAUACGGGAGAGAUACGGGAGAGAGACGGGAGAGAUANNNNNNNNNNGGGAAAAUAUGGGAGAGAUACGGGAGAGAUACGGGAGAGAUACGGGAAAAUGCAUGAGAAAUACGAGAAAAUAAGGGAGAAAUACGGGAAAAAUAUGGGAAAAAUACGGGAAAAAUACGGGAGAAAUAUGGGAAAAUACAGGAGAAAUACGGGAAAAAUACGGAAAAAAUAUGGGAGAAAUACGGGAAAAUACAGGAGAAAUACGGGAAAAAUAUGGGAGAAAUACGGGAAAAUACGGGAAAAAUACCAGAAAAAUACAGGAAAAAUAUGGGAGAAAUACGGGAGAAAUACGGGAAAAUAUGGGAGAGUCCGGGAGAAAUACAGGAAAAUACGGGAAAAUAUGGGAGAAAUACGGGAAAAUAUGGGAGAAACAUGGGAGAAACACGGGAGAGUCCGGGAGAAAUAUGGGAAAAUCCAGGAGAAAUCCGGGAGAAAUCCGGGAGAAACACGGGAAAGAUACGGGAGAGAUAUGGGAGAGAUACAGGAAAAGUCUGGGAGAAUCCAGGAAAAUCCAAGAAAAGUCCGGGAAAAGUCCGGGAAGAAUCUGGGAAGAGUCCGGGAGAAAUCUGGGAGAAAUCCGAGAAAAGUCCAGGAAAAGUCCGGGAGAAAUCCCAGAAAAGUCCAGGAGAAGUCUGGGAAAAGUUCGGGAAAAGUCCGGGGAAAGUGCAGGAGAAAUCUGGGAAAAGCCUGGGAGAAAUAUGGGAGAAAUAUGGGAAAAGUCUGGGAGAAUCCAGGAAAAGUCCGGGAGAAAUCCAGGAGAAAUCCGGGAAAAGUCCAGGGAAAAUUCAGGAGAAAUCCGGGAGAAAUCCGGGAAAAGUCCGGGAAAAAUCCACUAAAAGUCCAGGAGAAAUCCGGGAAAAUCUGGGAAAAAUCUGGGAAAAGUCCAGGAGAAAUCCAGGAAAAAUCCGGGAAAAAUCAGGGAAUUUAUCGGGGUCAGAGCGGGGACGGAGAAGUGGCUGAAAUUCCCACCCAAACGGGGAUAAAUUGA